CUGACAUUUGAGUCAGUGGACUGGGAGAGGAAGACCCACCCUCAAUGUGGGUGGGCACCAUCCAAUCAGCUGCCAGCAGAGGUGGAAUAAAGCAAGUGGAAAUAGCUGGGAUAAGCCGGCUUGAUGAGUCUUCUGGCUUUCAUCUUUCUCUGGUCUGGGUGCUUCCUGCCCUUGGAUAUCAGACUUCAGGUUCUUCGGCCUUUGGACUCUGAGACUUGCACCAGUGGAUUUCUGGGGACUCUCAGGCCUUCAGCCAUAGACUAAAGCCUGCACUGUAGGCUUCCCUACUUUUGAAGCUUUUGGACUUGGACUGAGACACGACUGGUUUCUUUGCUCCUCAGCUUGCAGCCAGCCUAUCGUGAGACUUCGCCUCGUAAUUGUACAUUUUGAAUGCCAGGCACUGUGAUCUGGAAGAAUAGAACAGUGAACUAAAACACCAUGACCUCUGCCUGAAUAGAACUCCUAAUGUAAGGUAGGGAGAAAAUAAUUACAUGAACUCAUAUGGAAUUAGAGCUCUGAUAAGAGCUACAAGAAGAGAUGAUAGAUAUAAUGAAAAGAUAUAAUAGAUGAUUUUUUUUAAGGAGGGAAGUCGAGAAAUCUUGAUUAGUGAUUCAAAAAUGGCAAAGGGGAGGGUGAGGGUGGAUUAGAUUAGUUUUGCGGGCAGAGGGAAAUAUUUGUGCAAUGCCCAUGGCAAGUUGGAAGAGGGGAAGAUCUGCGCAGCUGGAGUGAAGAGAGAAAGGGAUAAAAGGCACUAACUGAGGGUGAAGAGACAGAGCUGGUCAGAUAUACGGGGCCUCCUUCUGAAAAGAAUUUCAUUGCUCAGUUUGAGAGCAAAGAAAAGCAGCUGAAUGUUUAUGUAGGGAUACAUGGAAAACACACACACACAUGAUUAAGAUUUGUAAAAGAUCACUCUGGUUGCAGUACAGAGGAGGAAUUGAGGCUCUAGUCUUAUAAGUUUUCCUCUGAGAAGGGAAGUGUCUGGAAACUAGGGGUUUUGAUGGUUGAUUCCAGACUUUCCAUAACAGAGUAAUGUAGAUCCCAUAGUCUACAUUUGAUUUCUGUCUACCACACAUUUUCAAAAUUUGCUUCCUGCCCCAUUCUCUUCCUUUCUGCAUCCCAAACUCAACCAGCUUGCUGAAACCUUGAAGUCCAUAAAUUAAGCUUUUGAUAUAAGCUAAAGGCAAAUUCUACGUGGCAUAAAUAUUCUACAACUGUCAAUGGAGUAUAGAUGUUCUUAACAAAAUGGUUCUAUUGUUAAAUAACUUUUGAAAAGGCUUGGUUAAACAGUUAAACAGAAAGCCUUGCUAUUAAGAUUUCUUCAAGUCUUUAAUGAAUUAUUAGGCAUUGUGCAUGUUUAGAAGGCUCAUGUAAUGUUGAGAUUCCUUAAUUUUAUUCUUUAGGGUGACUUUCCCCCCAUUUCAAGAACAAUUCCAAAAGAUAUAUUAUUACACAGAAUGCACUUUGAAAACUAUGAAUGUAUGGCCUACUGAUAGCCUGUUGCUGGCAGAGAUGGGGCUGAAAUUCAGAAUAUCUAUCCCAUUCUAUACUAUCCCAUAGUUUUGGGAGAAAAUUAAACCCUGGUGUAUAACAGAAAUUUUCAAUUAUUUACAUGUAUUUACUAUUUCCUUCUAUCUACUAUUCUAAACUCUCUGGAAUGUUAUGAAGACAGAAUUUUGACUCCCCUUAAAAUUCACAUGUUAAAGUCCUAAUCCCACAAUGUGACUCUAUUUGGACAUAGGCCCUUUAACAAGGUAAUGAAGGGUGAAUAUGGGCACAAGGGUGGGGCUCGAAACCCAUAGGACUGGUGUUCUUACCAGAAGAGAGAACCGAGGUAUGCAUACACAGGGAGUAAAGGUCACAUGAGCACCCAACAAGAAGGUGGCCAUCUGCAAGCCAAGGAGAGAAGCCUCAAGAAAGACCAAAUCUGCCAACAUCUUGAUGUUGGGCUCCAGAACUGUGAGAAAAUAAGUAUCUGUUUACCCCACCCAGUCCACAGUUUGAUGUAGUAGCCUAAGCAGACCAACAUACCAACCGUACAUGAAAUCUUAAUCUAAUUCUACCACUUUCUAG
rnacentral:lncRNA from 1 species